rnacentral:lncRNA from 1 species
AAAUCCUGAAUUUUUCCCUUAUCUUCUCUUUCAGCAGCCGAUUGCUAUACCCUUUUUUUUUUUUUUUCUCGCCCCUCACUAUCUCUCUCACUUCGGCCAUUGCUCGUGCUCCUGCUUGUGUGCUGUUGUUGCUCUCGUUUUGCCGGUGUCGUUGUGCUGCUCUUGCUUCGUCUGCGUUGCUGCUUCUCUCGCUUUGCCUGCAUUGCUGAUGUGCUUGCUUCACUGGUAUCAUUGUGCUGCUCUCACUUUGCCUAUGUCGUGGCCGCUCUCUCCGUUUAUUGUUCUCAAUCUUACUGUCGCUCUUACUUUACAAGCUAUAGAGCUAGACGUAGACUAUCUCUCGUGUUGCUUGUGGUCUCCCUCUACUAUCAUCACGGUUGCCGUUUGUUUUGCUUGUUUUUUCUUAAAUCUACAUAUUUUUAUUUUGUGAAAGAAUCUGCAUUCUGUAUUUUUAAAUCUAUUUAUAUUUCUAAAUCUAUUUGUUGAUAAAUUUUAAAUGCAAGAUUUUUCAAUAAUGAAAGAAAUUUUUUGAAUUAAGAAUGAUUAUUUUUCUACAUGAAAAAUCAAAAUUGUAAGGGUUUAGAGUUUGUAUUUUAGAUUUGUUCUAUUGCUAAUUUUUGGAUGAAAUUUUAUUUUUGAUGUUGCAAGGUAUUCAUUGAAUAAGGGGAUUUUGAAAUGAAUAAACGAAUAGAAAUUUUUUGAUUCAAUUCAAUUAUUACUUUAAAACGGUUUGAUUCUAUUUUGUAAUAUAUAUAUAUAUAUAUUACAGAUUAUAAUUAAUUAAUUAAAUUUACUAAAUAAAAUAAUAAAAAAAUAUUUAAUAAUUAAAUAAUGUGUAAUUUUAUUGAAAUUGUAUAAUAUAUAAAAUACACUAUUGAAAUUACAUAUUAUUUCGUGCGACUAUAAAUUAUUUAAAUAUAUAUAUAUAUAAAUUGAUUUUUCAGUACAGAUUCAAUAAGAUUUUGGUUUAGUUUUGAUAUAAUUUUUGAUAAAAAAAUCAGAACUAAAUAUCUAAAUAAAUUUUAUAUGGUUUGAUUUUUCAACAAUUGAUUUGUUUUCAAUUUUAAUUCAAUAUGAUUUUUCAGUUUGAUUUAAAAUUUUAAAGAAUUGUGCACAGCCCCAAUACAGGGGUAAAAUAUUUUGACAAACACCCAUUAUUGAUAUGGUAUUUUUCACCUACUUCAUAAAUAAUUUCUUAUGCCCUCUCCUUCGUGAAUAAAAUUUUUUUAAUACCUUUUAAAUAAAAACCCCAAUUGCUGAGGCAUUCUUAUUUACGCAUGAGAAUCAUUUUGUUUACUGGAAGACAAGUUUCAGGAGUGGUUAAUUAACUAAUCCUUGUAAAUCAUGUAUGUAAUAUCUGGCUAAACUCCAGUAUCAGAAUUCCUACCGUUCGGUGGAAUCUCGGAUGUCGGAAACCUCUAGAAGGGUAAAAUCAUGUUUUUAUAAAAUAUUUUGAUGUAUUUUAUGAUUUUAAGUAAAAAAGAAGUAGAGUUUUUAAAUGAAAAUAGCCUUGGAAGAAGACCCAGGUUCGGCCGCUGAAUCCCAAGUUCGGCCGCCAAACGUGCAUGCGUUUCGGGAGUGCGUUAGGCCCCCGAAAGCAUAAGUGAGGGAAGUCCAGGUUCGGCCGCCGAACAUGGCAUGCGGAGGCACGUUAGGCCCCCGAAAGUGGUCUGGCCAGCCACCUAUAAAGGGGUCCCCAUGUCCGAACGGGAGAGCUUUUCUCCCCGUUUUCGGCCAAGGUGAGUUCUCCGCCGUCCCUCAUCGAUUUUGAGCUUCUUCCUUCGAAUCUUCAUGAUUUUCUUAUGAGUUUUCACUUGGUUUGAAGAUCCUUGAGCAAAAGAGCAAGUUUGGAAGCUUGGAGACCAAAGAGUGGAUUUCUCCCUACCUCCAAGCUAGGAUCGUCUUUCCUCUCGAUCUUCAAGAGGUAAGCUUAGAUCCAACCUUUUUUGCAUGUUUUAAACAAGUUUUAUGAAGAUCUAUGGAGUAGAAAUGCAUGUUAGGUUAUUGUUAUGUUUAUGGGUUUAUGUAUGUUUAUGAACAAUGUGGGUUGUUUGAUGUGUUGUAGUUGGGGUUUAGGAUAGUUUGAAGCCCCUAGGAGCUUGUAUGCUUGAGUGUGCAUAUUGUAGAAUAGGAAAAUGCAUGAUUGAUUGAGUUGGGAGGCAUUUGUGCAUGUUGGAGCCGGGUUUCUGUCCUUUGGGAGAAACCAGGUUCGGCAGCCAAAGGGACUUUCGGCCGCCGAACCUGCCUGUGGAGGCAACUUUCGGCUGCCGAAGCCUGCCCCCGAAAGUAGACUUUCGUCUCUGGAGGGGACUUUCGGCCGCCGAAGGUGCCGCCGAACAUGCAUGAGUUUCAUCUCUGGAGGGAACCUUCGGCUGCCGAAAGUGCCGCCGAAGGUGCCUGACUUUCGGCUCUGGAGGGACUUUCGGCCGCCGAACCUGCUGCCGAAAGUGCCCUGUUCAGCCCUCCUUUGCAUGAUUUCCUUGAUUGUUUUAAGGUGUUUUAGGGGGGUUUUUGGGGGAUGUUUUUAGAGUUAUGUUUAUGUAUGUUAGGUCCCUUAUUUGAGUCCACCUGUGUAGGUUCGAACCCGAGGAACCAAGGACCCCAGCAGUGAGUUCAGCUGCUUCGGUGUUUGUCAGAGUCAAACAGAGGUGAGUGGAACUAAACUUAAUCUUUUAAAUUGAGAAAUUAAAUGUUUUAUCAUUUUUCAUGCAUCAUGAUUAUGCAAUAGGAUGAUUGCAUUAGAUUUCACGAAAAUGUUGCAUCGCAUUCUCUGUUGUUGAUGUGGGUGAAUGUUGGAUGACCCAAUUAGUCCCUGAGGAAAGACCAGGACCCUAUUCUACGGCCUGGCACAGAUAUGGAACUUGAAGACCAGGUGUCCAGAGGAGGCCCUGGGGCAAUGGUAAGUAAUGUAUGACAUGACAGGAAGACCAGGACCCUAUGCUACGGCCUGGCACGAAAUGAUGCUGGGACUAUUUGGUGACAAGUUCACCCAACCCUUGAUGUGAAUUGUCUGAGCUAUGAUGCAUUUCAUAUGAGCAUGUUUGUUAACAUGUUUUUAUGGUUCUACUCACUGGGCUUGUUAGCUCACCCCUCUCCCUUGACCCCCAGGUUUGCAGGUACAUGAUAGAGCAGGAGGUCGGAUAGAGUAAAGUCUAAGUCAUGUUAUAGCUCGUAGUGGACAUGAUGGAUAUUGUAAUGUAAAGUUGAGUUAUGUAAUGUAAUGAUGAUAUUGAGGUCUAGAAGUGUGCUUGACCAUAGUAUGUUGUAAAUCCCUUUUUAGAUACAUUAUCUUAAAUGUUUAUGGAUGACUAUGUUUAACCAAACUUAAUGCAUGAUUAUGUCACCCCAUUGGAGCAUCGAUGAGGACUCCAAGGUGGGGUUAAUGUUAAUGUCUAUGUUAAUGCAUGCACAGGUUGAGUUUGGUUUAUGAAUGAAAAAGAAAAGUUCAAUUUUUUUAUGUAUAUUGUUGAUCAUGUAUGGGAUUAAUCAGGUUCACAGGUUGCAUGUUAGGCUUGCUACGGGUCCCGGCGGCCUUAAGCCGAUCUGGAUCCUAGCGCCGGUAGCGGUCCGAUUUUCGGGUCGUUACAGAGUGGUAUCAGAGCCCUAGGUUCAUAUGGUCAGACCUAGAGUGUUAGGCUCAUAGAUGUUGUAGAAGGUCAAGCACAAUAGGAAAAUCAUGUCCACUAGGAUAGAAUGUAGAGUCCUGUCUUGAAUGAUGAUGUGUAAUGUCAUGAUAAUAUGCAUGUGCAUUAAUGAUAUGUUAUGUAUGUGAUGCGGGUUCAUGUGUUUGCACAUGAACCAUAUGAUGCUAAUGUUUAUGUGAUGUGUGCUGUUUUUCAGUAAACAGGAUGAGAGGAACUCGUCGAUCUGCACGAUUGACUGGAGUACCACCGGAGGAUGAGGGCAUGAGUGCCCGUCCCCCUGCAUUGCCAAGGGCAAUGUCUAGCAGGUCCAGCAGGGAAAGAGCAGUAAGAGACCCUAGAAGGUCUUUGGAUCUAGGUAGAAGCAGAUCAGUGAGGGGAACCGUGCAAGGGGAUAUGUCAGAGGAUGUGGGGGAUCAGAUGGAUGUGGAUCAGAGGAGGGAUGGCAGUCUCGGAGUAAGUAUGUCAGAAGAGGGCAUGGGAGAAUCCCAAGGAGGCACUCAGGCCUCGAGAUUUGUUCAGCCACCUUACUACCCACCCUUUUCACAAAAUCCCGGGUAUUCGAUGGGAGGUACAUCGGAUUACCCUAGCUUUAAUCCUUAUCCCACCCACAUGCCAUACCCACCUUACUAUCCACCAUACCCACAGUACCCUAUGUACCCACCCCCAUCUUUCUAUCCAGGUACAGCAAACCCUACCCCAGGGGAUGUUGCACCUCCUCCACCACCAGCAGCACCUGCUGUCCCAGCAACCCAAGACCCUAAACCUAGCUCAUCUGGAGGAAGCAAGGUCAAGAUGACCGACUACAUGAAGCUGGGUGCUCCCCAGUUUGAAACCGGUGAUGACCCAUUUGUGUACCUUGAGAGGGUCAGAACGAUUACAGAUGAGAUAGGAGCUGAUGACAGUAGAGCCAUUCAGAUGGCCGGGUUCACACUGAAAUGUAAGAAAGCCCGAGAGUGGUUUAAGAGCUAUGUGAGCCCGAGGGUGGACAGCCUAUCAUGGGAGGAGUUUGCAAAUGAGUUUGCAGGAUGGGCUUUCCCUGACAGUUCAAGAGAGUUGAAGAUGAUUGAGUUCGAACAGCUGAGGCAGACGGAUGAGAUGAGUGUGGAUGAGUUCACAGACAGGUUUUUGGAGCUGUUGCCGUUUGCUGGGCAGAAUCUGGAUACUGAACAGAAGAAGUCAAGGAGGUAUAUCAUGAAGCUCCAUUCUAGGUAUUCCUCCUUGAUUCAGUCAGCAGAGAGGGAGGGUUUCCAUGCCAUAGUGGAUAUGGCUCGGAGGAUGGAGGCUAGUGCUAUCAUCGAAUGGAAAGUCAAACAGUCAGUGGCACAGUCUUCUGGUUCUAAAACCCCAGGUGGGGGAAGGUUAGAUCCCUCUACUUUGAGUGCAGCAGCUUCAGGCAGUAAGAGAUGGAGUAAAGCCAAGUCUAAGAAGAACAAGUUUUGGAGCAAGAUCAAGUCAGGUCUGGGAUUAGGGAGUGGCUCAAGCUCUGGUGCAGAUAAUGCAGUAUGCAAGAAAUGUGGGAAGCCAUACAAGGGGGUAUGUCUGGUUGGGACGUCAGUCUACUUCAGAUGUGGGCAGGAGGGACACAUAGCACGGGAGUGUCCUAGGCCAGCUUUUGGGGUACAGUCUCAGCAGACAGCUUCAGGCAGUGUGGCUCAGCCAAUAGCUCCAGCCGCGACUCAGGCUAUUGGAAAAGGCAGAGGGAGAGGGGCAGCCUCUUCUUCAACGGGUUUCAGGGGUUAAGGUCCAUCAGCUCUAGCACGGAUCUUCACUAUGACUCAGCAAGAGGCAAACACAUCCAACACCGUGGUGUCAGGUAAUCUCAUCAUUGGUUGUUCAGAUGUGUAUGCAUUAAUGGACCCUGGUGCAUCUCAUUCCUUCAUUGCUCCGAGAGCCGUCGAGAGGUUGGGAUUGAUGGUCUCUGGGUUAGAGUGUGCCCUAUGGGUCAGUGGACCCAAGUGUGACCCGUCAGUGGCAGAGUCAGUUUGCCAGUAUAGUCCAGUUUUUAUGGAGGGAAGAUGUCUUUCCGCCGACCUUGUGGUUCUAGAUUUGACAGAUUUUGACGUCAUUCUAGGGAUGGAUUGGUUAUCUACCCAUGGUGCUACCUUGGACUGCAGGGACAAGGUAGUCAAGUUCAGAUGUCAGGAUGGGUCAGAGGUUGUCUUCAAAGGAGACACUGGGAGUACACCUAGAGGUUUGAUAUCAGCCCUACAGGCUCGUAGGCUACUCAGGAGGGGUUGUCAGGGUUUUCUAGCUCAUGUGAGAGAGCUGGAUAGUCAUGUCAGAGAGCCCGCCUCAGUGCCAGUGGUGUGAGAGUUCUUAGAUGUUUUCCCAGACAAGCUGCCAGGUUUACCACCUACUAGGGAGAUAGAGUUUGAAAUUGAAUUGAUGCCUGGAACUAGACCGAUCUCUAUUCCUCCCUACAGGAUGGCACCAGCAGAAUUGAAGGAGCUUAAGGAGCAGUUGCAAGAGUUGGUAGAUAGAGGAUUCAUCCGACCGAGUACCUCACCCUGGGGUGCUCCAGUGCUAUUUGUGAAAAAGAAGGAUGGAUUUCUCAGACUUUGUAUCGACUACAGGCAGUUGAAUAAGGUCACUACCAAGAAUAAGUACCCGCUGCCAAGGAUCGACGAUCUAUUCGACCAGCUAGCAGGAGCAGGUUGUUUCUCCAAAAUAGAUAUGAGAUCGGGGUAUCAUCAGCUGAGGAUAAGGGAAGAGGAUGUACCGAAGACAACAUUUAGGACCAGAUAUGGGCAUUAUGAGUUCCUUGUAAUGCCGUUCGGAUUAACCAAUGCCCCUGCAGCAUUCAUGGAUCUCAUGAACAGAGUUUUCAGUCAAUACCUGGAUCACUUUGUUAUUGUCUUCAUAGAUGAUAUCUUAGUGUAUUCCAGGAAUGCAGAGGAGUAUGCCCAUCAUCUGAGGUUAGUUCUGCAGACCUUGAGAGAACAUGGCUUGUAUGCCAAGUUCUCCAAGUGUGAGUUCUGGCUGAGGAGCAUUUCAUUCUUGGGGCAUGUGGUGUCAGAAAAUGGAAUCGAGAUAGACCCCAAGAAAGUGGAAGCUGUAGCUAACUGGCCAAGACCCACCACAGUGACAGAGAUCAAGAGUUUCUUGGGUUUGGCAGGUUACUACAGGAGGUUCGUUCAGAACUUCUCUAAAAUUGCAGCUCCCAUGACCAGAUUAUCAAAGAAGAACCAGAGAUUCGUGUGGACCGACCAGUGUGAAGAGAGCUUUGAAGAGCUAAAGAAGAGAUUGACUUCAGCACCGGUGUUAGCUCUGCCGACUUGUAAUGAGGACUUCACAGUCUUUUGCGAUGCAUCCUGUGUGGGACUGAGUUGUGUGCUAAUGCAGAAUGAAAGGGUGAUUGCUUAUGCUUCUAGACAGUUAAAAAAGCAUGAGUUGAAUUACCCUACACAUGACCUAGAGAUGGCAACAGUAAUCUUUGCACUCAAUAUGUGGAGGCAUUACCUCUAUGGGGUUAAAUGUGAGAUCUUCACCGAUCAUAAGAGCCUGCAGUACAUCUUGAGUCAAAGGGAUCUGAAUUUGAGGCAGAGGAGAUGGGUAGAACUGCUUAGUGACUAUGAUUGCAAGAUCCAGUACCAUCCGGGUAAGGCGAAUGUUGUGGCAGACGCCUUAAGCCGGAAAUCACUUGGCAGUUUGUCCCAUAUUGUAGCAGAGAGAAGACCAGUGGUGAGGCAGUUCUUCGAGCUCAUGAAUGAAGGUCUACAGUUGGAGUUGUCUGGUACAUGUGCUUUAGUAGCCCAGAUGAGAGUGGCACCCGUGUUUCUGGAGCAGGUGGCUUAGAAACAGCAUGAGGACCCAGAGUUAGUGAAGAUUGCCAGGACUGUUCAUUCAGGCAAGGAUAGUGAGUUCAGAUUCGACAGCAAGGGGAUCCUUCGCUAUGGGAGCAGACUUUGUGUACCAGAUGACAUAGGGCUGAAGGGAGACAUUAUGAGAGAGGCUCAUAAUGCCAGAUACAGUGUUCACCCUGGAGCCACCAAGAUGUAUCAAGAUAUGAAGAAAGUUUAUUGGUGGCCAGCUAUGAAGAGAGAAGUGGCACAGUUCGUGUCAGCCUGUGAAGUAUGUCAGAGGGUGAAGCUGGAACAUCAGAAGCCGGCUGUAAUGCUUAACCCACUACCUAUUCCAGAGUGGAAAUGGGAGAAUAUAGCUAUGGACUUCGUGGUGGGGUUACCGGCAGCGUCCAACAGAUUGGACUCCAUAUGGGUGAUUGUGGACAGACUCACCAAAUCUGCUCACUUCAUCCCUGUCAGGAGUGGCUAUUCUGUGGACAAAUUGGCGUAGGUGUAUGUUGAUGAGGUUGUCAGGCUGCAUGGGGUCCCUGUUUCAAUAGUGUCCGAUAGAGGGCCCCAGUUCACCUCCAAGUUUUGGCGGAGUCUGCAGAAUGCCAUAGGUACCAGGUUGGAUUUUAGCACUGCUUUCCACCCACAGACGGACGAACAGUCAGAAAGAACCAUCCAGACAAUAGAGGAUAUGCUCAGAAUGUGUGUGCUGGACUUUGGAGGUUCUUGGAGGCAACAUCUACCUUUGGUGGAGUUUGCCUACAAUAACAGCCAUCAUGCUAGCAUCGGGAUGGCUCCAUAUGAAGCUUUGUAUGGAAGGAAGUGCAGAUCACAUGUUUGCUUGGAAGAAGUUGGAGAAAAGGCCUUGGCAGGGCCUGAGCUAGUGGAGAUCACCAGCAGGAUGGUACCCAUAAUCAGAGAAAGGAUCAAGACUGCUGCGAGCAGACAGAAGAGUUAUGCAGAUGUCCGCAGAAGGCAAGUAGAGUUUCAGGAGGGGGAUUUAGUAUUGCUCAAAGUGUCUCCAAUGAAAGGGGUGAUCCGGUUCGGGAAGAAAGGUAAGUUGGCUCCACGGUACAUCGGACCCUUUGAAGUCUUGCAAAAGAUUUGGAAUGUAUCGUACAAGCUGGACUUGCCUGCCUCAAUGGAGAGAAUCCAUCCGGUUUUCCAUGUUUCUAUGUUGAGAAAGUUCGUGUCAGAUCCGGGCAAGGUUCUUAGUGAGCCUGAUGUGGAGAUCCAAGAGGAUCUCACCUAUGUUUAGCAGCCGGUACGGAUCCUAGACACCCAGAUCAGGAAGCUAAGGAACAAGGAAAUCCCGAUGGUGAAAGUCCUUUGGAAUCACCACAAUAUUGAAAAGUGCACUUGGGAGACACGGGAGUCCAUGCUCCAGCAAUAUCCCCAUCUCUUCUAAGGUAAGUUUUAUGUGCUUUGUAGGUGUGUUCAUGUUUGUUGCUAUGCUUAUGUGUUUGGUGAACAUUCGAGGAUGAAUGUUCUUAAGGGGGGGAGAAUGUAAUACCCGGCUAGACUCCGGUAUCGGAAUUCCUACCGUUCGGUGGAAUCUCGGAUGUCGGAAACCUCUAGAAGGGUAAAAUCAUAUUUUUAUAAAAUGUUUUGAUGUAUUUUAUAAUUUUAAGUAAAAAGGAAGUAGAGUUUUUAAAUGAAAAUAGCUUUGGAAGAAGACCCAGGUUCGGCCGCCGAACGUUCAUGUGUUUCGGGAGUGCGUUAGGCCCCCGAAAGCAUAAGUGAGGGAAGUCCAGGUUCGGCCGCCGAACAUGGCAUGCAUGCGGAGGCACGUUAGGCCCCCGAAAGUGGUCUGGCCAGCCACCUAUAAAGGGGUCCCCAUGUCCGAACGGGAGAGCUUUUCUCCCCGUUUUCGGCCAAGGUGAGUUCUCCGCCGUCCCUCAUCGAUUUUGAGCUUCUUCCUUCGAAUCUUCAUGAUUUUCUUAUGAGUUUUCACUUGGUUUGAAGAUCCUUGAGCAAAAUAGCAAGUUUGGAAGCUUGGAGACCAAAGAGUGGAUUUCUCCCUACCUCCAAGCUAGGAUCGUCUUUCCUCUCGAUCUUUAAGAGGUAAGCUUAGAUCCAACCUUUCUUGCAUAUUUUAAACAAGUUUUAUGAAGAUCUAUGGAGUAGAAAUGCAUGUUAGGUUAUUGUUAUGUUUAUGGGUUUAUGUAUGUUUAUGAACAAUGUGGGUUGUUUGAUGUGUUGUAGUUGGGGUUUAGGAUAGUUUGAAGCCCCUAGGAGCUUGUAUGCUUGAGUAUGCAUGUUGUAGAAUAGGAAAAUGCAUGAUUGAUUGAGUUGGGAGGCAUUUGUGCAUGUUGGAGCCGGGUUUCUGUCCUUUGGGAGAAACUAGGUUCGGCAGCCGAAGGGACUUUCGGCCGCCAAACCUGCCUGUGGAGGCAACUUUCGGCUGCCGAAGCCUGCCCCCGAAAGUAGACUUUCGUCUCUGGAGGGGACUUUCGGCCGCCAAAGGUGCCGCCGAACAUGCAUGAGUUUCGUCUCUGGAGGGAACCUUCGGCCGCCGAAAGUGCCGCCGAAGGUGCCUGACUUUCGGCUCUGGAGGGACUUUCGGCCGCCGAACCUGCCGCCGAAAGUGCCCUGUUCAGACCUCCUUUGCAUGAUUUCCUUGAUUGUUUUAAGGUGUUUUAGGGGGUUUUUGGGGGAUGUUUUUAGAGUUAUGUUUAUGUAUGUUAGGUCCCUCAUUUGAGUCCACCUGUGUAGGUUCAGACCCGAGGAACCGAGAACCCCAGCAGUGAGUUCAGCUGCUUCGGUGUUUUUUAGAGUCAACCAGAGGUGAGUGGAACUAAACUUAAUCUGUAAUACCCGGCUGGAGUCCGGCAUCGGAAUUCUACUUUCCGGUGGAGUCCGGGAUGUCGAAAGUCUCGAGAAGGGUUAGAUUUAUGGUUUUCUAAAAUGUUUUGAUAUGUUCAUAGUUUUAAAGCAUAAGGAAUGAAGUUUGUGAGUGAAAUGAACCAAGGCAGAAAAGCCAGGUUCGGCCGCCGAACAUGCAUGGCUUUCGGUUUCACGUGUGGCCGCCGAAGGUGGUCUGGCCAGCCACCUAUAAAAGGCCCUCAGUCGGUUGAAAGGAUAAGGCACGCCGAUUCCUUUCGAUUUCUGAGGUGAGACUCUGUCCUUGAGUAUUUUACAUGUUUUUAUCCAAUCUUGCAAAGGUUUGAUUAGUUUUUAUGUUCUUUUGAAGGUUUUAAGCUAAAAACUCAAAGUUGUGUAUUUUGGAGAGUUUGAAGGAGAGUUGCUCCAAAACUCCACGUUAGGAUUGUUCAUCUUCUUGGUUUCAAGAGGUAAGUGAAGAUCCUGAGCUUGUUUUUAUUUUUUCUGAAGGUUUUAUGAGGUUUUGGGGGAGAGUUGCAUGAAUAGGGUUAUUUGUGAGGUUUUGAUGAUUUUGUGAGUAACGCUUGGUUAUGUGUUGUGUGUGUUGUGUGUUUGGGGUUUUAAGGCAGUUUUUGACCCCUUUGAGCAUAUACAUGAGUGUAUGCAAGUUGAGGGAUUGAGGUGUUUGAGUUGGAGAGAGUUUUGGUGCUUUUGGCGAGAGGCAGAGCAAGUUUCUGCCUUACGGAUGAACUCAGGUUCGGCCGCCGAACCCAUGAGGAGGUGGCUUCGGCUGCCCAAGCUUGCCCCCGAGCUUUUGGACUUUCGGCUCUGGAAGGGAGUUCGGCCGCUGAAGGUGCAGCCGAAGGUUAGAGACUUUCGUCUCUGGAGUACCUUUCAGCCUCCGAAACUUGCCCCCGAAAGGGUUCGGCUGCCGAAAAUAGAGUUUCGGCCGCAGAAGGUGCAUGAGUUUCGUCUCUGGAGAGGACUUUCGGCUGCCAAACCUGCCGCCGAAAGUGUCCUAUCCAGCCUUCUUUUGCAUGCUUUGCAUGGAUGUUUGAGUGAGUUUAAGGGGAUUCUUGGGGAGUUUAAUAGAGUUGUUCAUAAGCUAGUUGGUCCCUCAUUUGAGUCUAUCUGUAUAGGUACAGACCAGAGGAACCAGAGAGAGCAGCAGUGAGUACUGCUCCAGAGUUUUCAGAGCCUGCAGAGUCAGUCCAGCUAGCCAGAGGUGAGUGGAACUAAACUUAAUGUUUUUAAUUGAGAAAUAAACUGCUUUUAGCAUAAUUCAUGCAUCAUGAGUAUACAGUAGGUUGUUUGCAUUAGCAUUCACGAAUAUAUUGCAUUGCAUAGUUAUUUGUUGAUGUGGGUGAAUGCUGAAUGAUCCAAUAGUCUCUAAGAGAAGUCCAGGAGCCUUUGACUAUGCCCUGGCAGGUUUAUAGUAAAGUCCAGGAGCCUUUGACUACGCCCUGGCAAUGGUAAGUACAGAGGUGUUAUAAACACACAUAUAUACAUAUAACAGGAAGACCAGGUGCUCGAUUCUACGCCUUGGCACGGCAGAGUUACCGAGACUAUGUGGUGACAGGUUACCCUUGAUGUGGAUUGUCUGUGGUUUGAUGCAUUCCAUCAGAGCAUGUGUUAAUGACUAUUUUACUGUUCUACUCACUGGGCUAUAGAGCUCAUCCCACUCCCUUAACCCCAGUUUUGCAGGUUCAGUGUACAGUGUACAGAAGAGAUCCACAGAGUACAGAAAGAGUAAAGAGAUUUGUCAUAGCUUAGAGUGGACAUGUAAUAUUAAAGAGAUGUAAUAGUUGUGUAUAAAGUUAGAAAUGUGCUUGACUUAGUGAUGUUUGUGUUGUAAAUCUUUUGUUAUGUACAUGAUCUGAUCUGUAUAUCUUUAUGUUUUACAAAGUAUGUGAAAAACCAGGCUUAACAGGUAUGAGUUAACCCAUCUAGAGCAAGCUCUAGUCAAGGGUACAGAGUACAGAGCACAGAGAUAGUGCAUGCACAG